GCAGCCUGUGGCUUUUGAAUGAGCCUGUAGGAAACAGAUAUGGCUGCGAGUGCCCAGAGCUGUUGUGGGGUCUAGUUAAAGCAAACUGACUGGACAAACUUCUAACAGAGUUCACCCUUGGGAUUGCUGUGAAGGAAGGAAUCCUUUCUUUCCCCUUCUGCAUUAAGAAGGAAGGGACCCUGGAGAGUACUGGAAUUACAGUGUAUCUUUUGGAUUAUUUUUGUUUGCCUGGAAGGGGAAGAUUUUAUUGUUUGAGUGAAGGGGGAACUGAUCUACCACAAAAGAAAUUGAAGCCUGGAAGCAAUUUGACAAAGGAAAGAACAAAGUCAUGAAUAAUGAGGUCUUCUGAGAGACUACAUAUGCACGGAUGGAUGAGACACAGUGGGA